rnacentral:lncRNA from 1 species
GACGAUGUAACUCUAGUAAAACUAUUCAUAAAUUAAAUUUCCCCCUUAAAUCACGGGUCCUACUUUCUCACCAAGACUGGAUGUUGAGUAGGAACAUGUACAUUUAGAGUAGUGUUACGAAUUUAGAUUUCAUCCCUUUACGAACACCUGAUGUAGGACUAAACAUCGUCAAAAGAUCGUCAUAAACAUUGCAAAAGAUAUCGUCAUAAACAUUGCAAAAGAUGCAGGUCUCUCUGUCAAUGGACUCCACAUGAAAAAACAAAUUCAUACUUUCAGGUCCAUUGGUCACACUGAAGCAUCAAAAGAUCUGGCAUCCAUAGAACAAACUGCACCUUGUAUACUUCCCUUGGGAGGUCCCCUCCAUAUUGGCUUACUAGAUCUGGCUUUCCAUUCCAAAGUUGAGUUGUGCAUCUUUCUCAUCACAAACAACUUCCAAACACAAUAUCAGCGGCUAUGAAGUCUGGCCAUCUAGUUCCUAGAUUGCCUAUAAACAAUCUACAAACUAUUGCUGAUAGUCCUCAACAACCAAUACAUUUAGCGGCCACCUGGAUUGAUCAGAUACUUCAAAUAUCA